GCCAGAGUAGCUCAGGGGUAGAGCAGAGGACUCAUAAGCCUUUGGUCGGGGGUUCGAUUCCCUCCUCUGGCACCA
rnacentral:tRNA from 1 species